UACAGAGGUCCCAAGCGUUGUUCGGAUUUACUGGGCGUAAAGGGUGCGUAGGUGGCGGGGUAAGUCUGGUGUGAAAGCUCCGAGCUCAACUCGGAAAAGCAUUGGAAACUAUCCCGCUGGAGGGUCGGAGGGGAGACUGGAAUUCUCGGUGUAGCAGUGAAAUGCGUAGAUAUCGAGAGGAACACCAGUGGCGAAGGCGGCUACCUGGCCCACUCUUGACGCUGAGAUGCGAAAGCGUGGGGAGCAAACAGG
rnacentral:rRNA from 1 species